AACGCAUAUUGCGCUCUUUGGUAUUCCGAAGAGCAUGCUUGUUUGAGUAUCAGUAAACACCUCAAAGCUUUUGGAUUUUUUUUUUGAAAGCUUUGGACUUGAGCAAUCCCAACACCAAUCUUUUUUUAAGAUCGGUGGCGGGUUGCUUGAAAUGCAGGUGCAGCUGGACAUUCUCCUGAGCUAAAAGCAUAUUCAUUUAGUCCCGUCAAACGGAUUAUUACUUUUGCUGCAGCUAACAUAAAGGGAGUUUGACCGUAUUGGCUGACUGAUGCAGGAUUUCACAAGGGUCGGCAACGAUUCUUGUUAAACUCGAUCUCAAAUCAAGUAAGACUACCCGCUGAACUUAA
rnacentral:misc_RNA from 1 species